rnacentral:lncRNA from 1 species
AACAUAUGUUUUCUUUUAAACAUAUGAUUUGUUCACACGUGUCCGAAAACCACAUGUUUGGGGGGGGAGCAUAUGUGUAAAUGGUUUGAAGAUGGAAGUUCUAUUGUCGGGCCCUGAGAACCUUGUAACAUUACAGUUUUCAGCAGGAAGAGAGAGAGCAGUUGAAAGAACCUUGUAACACUACAGUAUUCGUUUCAAGGCUGAUUUAGAUAACAUUGGCGUGGAGACAAUGGGGUCACUGAUCUGGGUCCAGCUGUAACAGAGAAGUCUGAUGUUCUUAUCUUAAAAUCUGUGGAUUAUAGUCCUGCUCCUUGUUGGCCAGGCUGAUUUUAACAAAACCAUGUUAAUGCAUUAGAGCGAGACAGUCAUUUUAUUCAGUCGUAAUAGGGCACCGCUUUCUCUUAACCAUUAUUCAAUCAACUGUACCUGGAGUUUGGGAGGAAUUUGACGAUUAAGCUAGGCUCUUUAAUCUUCAGGUGCACCAGUCAGUCAGUCUCAUCCAUCCGUCUGUCAGCCCACAGAGAGGCACAGAGAGGAAGGAUGUCGAAAUUGGUUUCAGGAGCUUGGAGGAAUGGAGGGAUUGGUGUCAGCACAGCAACUAUUGGCAGCAGUCCUGACCCUGGAGAUUGCAGUCUCCUUGUCCAUAGACUACUUUCAAGCCCCCCCUCCCCCUCUCUCUUUCUCUCCGCCUCUCUUCCCCCCUCUGUGACAGAAUCUCACCACCUGUAGCAGACACAUGGGCACUAAGACCUGCUCCUUGCCUGGCUUCUGCGCCAUCUGUCCACAGCAGUGGGGGAGAGAGAGAGACCGGAGCUGUUCCCUACUGGAGACCAGCACAGCCUGGUGGACAGCCAGCACCUCUCUGUCUCUCUCUCUGUCUCUCUCUCACUUCUUCUCUCUGUCUCCCCCCUUCUCUCUCUCUCUCAAUUUCAAUUACAUUUCAUUUAAG